GUUUCUUCUUCCUACGCUAUCGGUCGCACAUCAUUGCUUCAUCAGGAAAUGAAUGCAAAAAACCAAUUUGCAGAGCUUACAUCAUCGGAUUUAUCGUCAGGCAUGUGCAUUGAGAUAAUGAGAUCCUUUUCAACUUCAAGUUUUUCAUUUAAGGGGAAUUAGAAUUAUCAUAAUCAUGUGAUUCCGAUUGGUGUUUUGAUUUUAAUCAUAAUCGUUCAUGAAGGUGCAAGUAUCGGUGGCUCCUGCUAGCUGAAUUACCAGUGUCGUUGACGUUGGGCUUCAAGGUACAACUGAUAGAUCACUACUACUAGAGAGAAUGUUGGUGAAAAUUGUUUAGGUAAUCAAGUGAUAUCUAUUGAUUUAUUUUCUUUUUCUUUUGUUUGUUAAGAUAGUGAUAAUGCUGAUGACAUGAAGUGUUUACGGUGGGUAAUGGUGAGUGUAUAGACAUCCUUUUUUGUCAAUUGGUUGAAAAUUGUCUUAGAUUUGUAUGUGUUAUGAUUUCUCAUUUGACCCGUUAAGUCGUUUACCCAACGCAACCUGUUAGUUUAUAUUCCAUCUACAGAUGCGAAAAGAAGCCCUAGAGGCUAGAGGACCUCAUGGUUUUUUGUUGACGAGCUCAGACGGGUCAGGAGGCGGCGCAACCACGGUACUCGGGACUGAUGACGACAUGUUGAACGAUUCUAGUUCUUGUUGUAUUCAUGAAUAUUAGUUUUUUUUUUUUUAUAUUUAUGAAUUGUUAUUCUGUGAAUCAUGGCGACAAUAGUUUUUUAAAAUUGUUGCUAAAGACCUGGUAGUUUAUUUGGCAAAUGAAUAAUUUACACGAGUU
rnacentral:lncRNA from 1 species